rnacentral:lncRNA from 1 species
CUAAUAAGUCAUAUUUUGUUAUCUUUCUAAAAUUAUUUUAUUCUUAGAUGAUGAUUACUCUAUUUAUAUUUGAGGGUUAUUUAUGGAAACCCUAUUGAUUUGUGUUAAACUGAAAAAAAUGGCUCAAAGGGUAGCUUGGGGCUAAUGUAGCCUCAAGCACCGUGUGACACUCUAGGACCCAUUUUUCAGGGUGUUACAAACUUGGUAUCAGAGCCUAAGGUUUUAUGGUGUCCUA